rnacentral:rRNA from 1 species
UACGGAGGAUCCGAGCGUUAUCCGGAUUUAUUGGGCUUAAAGGGUGCGUAGGCGGCCUAUUAAGUCAGGGGUGAAAGACGGUAGCUUAACUAUCGCAGUGCCUUUGAUACUGAUAGGCUUGAAUGUACUUGAGGUAGGCGGAAUGUGACAAGUAGCGGUGAAAUGCAUAGAUAUGUCACAGAAACCCAAUUGCGAAGCCAGCUUAUUAAAGUAUGAUUGACGCUGAGGCCCGAAAGCGUGGGAUCAAACAGG